rnacentral:rRNA from 1 species
UACGUAGGGGGCAAGCGUUGUCCGGAAUCAUUGGGCGUAAAGCGCGCGUAGGCGGCCCGGUAAGUCCGCUCUGUAAGUCCAGGGCUCAACCCUGGAAAGCGGGUGGAUACUGCCGGGCUAGAAUCCGGAAGAGGCGAGUGGAAUUCCUGGUGUAGCGGUGGAAUGCGCAGAUAUCAGGAGGAACACCAAUAGCGAAGGCAGCUCGCUGGGACGGUAUUGACGCUAAGGCGCGAAAGCGUGGGGAGCAAACAGG